rnacentral:sRNA from 2 species
UUGAACGUGAAGGAUAACGUUGCUUCAGCAACGGCCCGAAGGGCGAGGCGAAGCCGAGUCAUCCUGCACGACCCACCA